UUUUACGAUCCUGGCGUCAGGAUGAACGCUAGCGGCAGGCCUAACACAUGCAAGUCGAGGGGUAGAAGUCUUCGGACUUUGAGACCGGCGCACGGGUGCGUAACGCGUAUGCAAUCUGCCUUACACUAAGGGAUAGCCCAGAGAAAUUUGGAUUAAUACCUUAUAGUAUAUGACUGGGACCUCCCUAACAUAUUAAAGUUCCAACGGUGUAAGAUGAGCAUGCGUCCCAUUAGCUAGUUGGUGUGGUAACGGCACACCAAGGCUAUGAUGGGUAGGGGUCCUGAGAGGGAGAUCCCCCACACUGGUACUGAGACACGGACCAGACUCCUACGGGAGGCAGCAGUGAGGAAUAUUGGUCAAUGGGCGCAAGCCUGAACCAGCCAUGCCGCGUGCAGGAUGAAGCAUCUAUGGUGUGUAAACUGCUUUUGUACGGGAAGAAACCCUGCCUCGUGAGGCAGAUUGACGGUACCGUAAGAAUAAGGAUCGGCUAACUCCGUG
rnacentral:rRNA from 1 species